CUGGAUAAGCUUAGCCUGUCCUAAUCUGGAUUCUAAUCAGGAUAGACUAAGCAUUGUCACUCUUUUAGUACCUAGGAUGUAUCCCCAGAUCUAGUUAUUUCCCUAGGUCUGUCUUAUAAAUUCUGAUGAUGUAA